rnacentral:sRNA from 1 species
AAGACUGCCACUCGAGGCCCGUCGGUAGAGUUGAGGUUUCACCAUGUUGGCCAGGCUGGUCUCGAACUCCGGACCUCAGGUGAUCUGCCCACCUUGGCCUCCCAAAGUGCUGGGAUUACAGGCAUGAGCCACUGUACCCAGCCAAGUCCUCCUGUUCGUAAUUACUUCGUGACCUCAGCCGUGCCCACCUCUCCGGGGCUCAGUUUCUCCUGUGAAAUGGAAACUGACCUCAGUGUUGAAGCACUUGCCAUUCUGAGGUGCCUGGACAGGGUCAGCCAGCAGCCGGCCCGGGGUGUCAGCCACCCCACCCAAGUCCCCGGUCUACCUGGACCUGGCCUACCUGCCCAGCGGGAGCAGCGCCCACCUGGUGGAUGAGGAGUUCUUCCAGCGCGUGCGCGCGCUCUGCUACGUCAUCAGUGGCCAGGACCAGCGCAAGGAGGAAGGCAUGCGGGCCGUCCUGGACGCGCUGCUGGCCAGCAAGCAGCAUUGGGACCGUGACCUGCAGGUGACCCUGAUCCCCACUUUCGACUCGGUGGCCAUGCAUACGUGGUACGCAGAGACGCACGCCCGGCACCAGGCGCUG